rnacentral:rRNA from 1 species
UACGGAGGAUGCAAGCGUUAUCCGGAUUUAUUGGGUUUAAAGGGUGCGCAGGUUGUUUGAUAAGUCAGUGGUGAAAGUCUGUCGCUUAACGGUAGGAUUGCCAUUGAUACUGUUAGACUUGAAUAUGGAUGAGGUAGGCGGAAUGUGUAGUGUAGCGGUGAAAUGCAUAGAUAUUACACAGAACACCGAUUGCGAAGGCAGCUUACUAAUCCAUCAUUGACGCUGAUGCACGAAAGCGUGGGGAUCAAA